rnacentral:rRNA from 1 species
GACGAACGCUGGCGGCGUGCUUAACACAUGCAAGUCGAACGGAAAGGCCCUGCUUUUGUUGGGUGCUCGAGUGGCGAACGGGUGAGUAACACGUGAGUAACCUGCCCUUGACUUUGGGAUAACUUCAGGAAACUGGGGCAAAUACCGGAUAGGAGCUCCUGCUGCAUGGUGGGGGUUGGAAAGUUUCGGCGGUUGGGGAUGGACUCGCGGCUUAUCAGCUUGCUGGUGGGGUAGUGGCUUACCAAGGCUUUGACGGGUAGCCGGCCUGAGAGGGUGACCGGCCACAUUGGGACUGAGAUACGGCCCAGACUCCUACGGGAGGCAGCAGUGGGGAAUAUUGCACAAUGGGCGGAAGCCUGAUGCAGCAACGCCGCGUGCGGGAUGACGGCCUUCGGGUUGUAAACCGCUUUCGCCUGUGACGAAGCGUGAGUGACGGUAAUGGGUAAAGAAGCACCGGCUAACUACGUG